GUCCUGACUAUUAUAAACACAGUACUGUGAUGAACAUUGGGGUACACGUGUCUCUUUCAAUUCUGGUUUCCUCGGUGUGUAUGCCCAGCAGUGGGAUUGCUGGGUUUAAAUAGUUUCAAAGGAUGUAUUUUUUCUAGUGGUUUUUUUUUUUUUUUUUUUUUUUUUUAUGUUCUGAACAUACCUUAAAUGUGUUUUUGUUGAAAACGGGUUUAGUUCAUCUCGAUUAUGGAAAGUAUUCUUAUAACCAAAUUGGCAAUGCCAAUCCCAUCUGAUAAAUCACACUUUCUAUUUUCUUAAUUUUUAAAACAAAAUUAAUUAUUUAUUUUGGCUUCACUGGGUCUUUGUUGCUGCUUGCAGACUUUCUCCAUCUUCUUUGCAUGGGCUUCACAUUGCGGUGGCUUCUCUUGUUGUGGAGCACAGGCUCUGGACCCACAGCUUCAGCUGUUGCAGCACUGUGGUCUCAGCAGUUGAGGCUUGGCUCAUGGGCUCUAGAGCUUCAGUUUCAGUAGGUAUCCCCCGAGACCAGGGAUCAAACCCAUGUGCCCUGAACUGGCAGGCACACUCCCAACCACUGGACUACUGAGGAAGUUCCAGACAAAUCAUAACUUUCUAUCAGGAAACUUAGACUUCACAUUUUAGCUCAAAUAAUAGUGUUCAUGUACAUCUUGGGGACAUGUAUCUUACUUCUGAUUCUCAGUCCAAUAGAGACAGAGAUGGAGGGAGGGAGGGAAGGAUGAGUGGAUACAUGAAGGGAUGUAUGUAUGCCUGGAUGUGUAGAUAAACGGAUGAGUAAACAGAUGGAUGAAUGGAUGAGUGAAUGGACAGAUGGGAUGGAGACGCUUGUUGCCUGGAUAAGAUGAAGUACCUCUUCUUUCAAUAUUUCUUAUGGAAGCCCCUAAGCUGGGCAUGUUAGGAAUUCCUACUGAGAAGCAGGCAGUCUCAACCAGAUUUUUAUACCAGGAGGAAAUGCCCCCAUAGUGAAUCUAGUGAUCAUUUCAUAAGGAGGGAAGAGAAAGAUUGAGAAAGAGAUAGGGGAAGGUCAUACCUCAGUCAUCUUCUAAGGCAUAUCAGCUUUAGAUACAUGUGGAAGCUGAGAUCCUGGAAACCAAGGCUUUUAAAAUUCAAGAGCAACAGUGUGUGGGCUGAGGGGCUGUGGUGCUAUGAUCUUUUCCUCAACUUUUCCUCCCUCAUGCUCUUGCACAGACUCAAAACUGAGAAUGUGCAAAGUCACAGAGAAAAUUGUAGGAAAUUCACCAUGGCUGUUGCUGGAAAGAGCAAUUCAUAAAUGUGCUGUUCUCUUUUUAAACUUCCAGUUUGGCUUCAUACUGUAUCUUGUGUAGGCUUUUAUUCCUGAAGGCUGGCUAAAAUUCAUAGGCUUAAACUACUGGACUCAAAAAUACUGGGUAGUUGCAAUAUCUAUCUACCUCCUUAUAAUAAUUGGCUGUGUGCUUUUAUUUAUUCAUUUUAAAUUGACAUGAUAAGGACUCACCACACAAUUCCAUUCAUACAAUCACAGAAGAAAUACCAAGAAGAAACCACCUCAGCAUCAAGAGCUAAUUCUUAUCAAUGGAACUGAUGUAUAAAAAAUUCUUUUUUUUUUUUUUUCAAAUAUUCUUUCUUACAGCCAAGGGACUUUGCAACAAAAACUGAAUGCAGGCAUGUGAGCAUUAAGCAUUUAUAAGUUUUUGGCAUUAUAAUGUUGGCCAUAAUUAAUCAACUGUCUCUUUUUGAGGUGUAAAACAAUAUAAACUGAACUUUUGAGAUUAAGUACCAUUAAUAUUAUAAAUGUUCUCAAAUAUGAGUUAUAAAUGAUGUUAUAAUGUGAUUUCUUUUGUUUUGUGAUUCCUAUUCUUCUUGUGUGAAACCUGUAGGACUGUAAGCUGUGUUAAAGAUUGUAAGCCUCAGUGGAAAGGGUGAACUUCCAUAUUUUUUGUCUUGAAAAGUUGGCUGGAGGACUGAAUCUGUCUUAGAGGGAUAGGCUAAGAGAAGUCAGAUGAGUGACACAAGUCACUGGAACAGGAGAAGCAACUGAUGAGUCAAGGUCCCCUCCCCAGGGGUAAAUGUUAUUCCUUAAAAUGAGAUGCUUCACUGAGGACCUGACUCCACCUGCUGAGAGCUGCUGCAGAGGGACACUGCCAGAGGCUCUGGGAGCAGAGGCCCACUUCCCACUCACACUUGUCUGGAGACCCACUGCAGACAGGAGACCACUGCUCCUCCUGCCCAGACUUCUCCUUGGAGAGGUUCCUUACCCUCUUUUCUAUAUUCCCAACUUCGACUAACAUGUCUUGCAUGCUAAUUGCUUGCAAUAAACCAAGUGAUUUGUGAACUGAAUAUCGGCCAUGUUUUAUUUAUCUCCAAGCCAUGAUGUGUGCCUGUACUUACUGCUGGGCCCUGUGACAAACAUUGGGAACCUUCACUGAACCAAACUUGGAUCUGAUUGCCUGCAUGCUGUAAAGCCAAUUUACUGACACUGGGUUGUAGUAAAGAAAAGUAGAGGGCUCCAAGCAAGGAGCCCAAGGGAGCUAGUGCCCAAAAUACUUGAACUCCCUGAUGGGUUUCUAGAAAGCUUUUUUUUGGAAAGCAUUUUCAAAGCCCAGGUAAGGGUGUGGAGUCCCAGGGUAUGUGAUCAACUUGGGCACAAGUUUCUGGUUGAUUGAUGGUGAGAUAACAGGACAGUGUCACUUUAUCAAUCCUCAGGCUCCAGUAGAUCUGGGGGCUAUGUGCUCAUGGUCAUCAAAUAGUUAAUUUCUUCUGUUUGGCAGAGGUUUCAGCAUCUGUGAAACAGCUCAGGAAAUGUGCAGCAAAUGCUGUUGUCUAAGUGCUCAGAGAGGAACUGAAGCAGAGGAUGGGGAGGGCUCUGUCCCAGGAAGGCUGCAUAGAGUCCAGUGUGAUUACAGAGCCAUGGAGAGAAAAAGCAGCAGACAUUCCAGGGGGUUGAGAAUGAUUAAAUGUGGAGAUUGAAGAAAAGAGGGAAGUCAAGGUUGACUUCUGGGGUCGUGGCAAUAACUUAAGCAAUGAGUGGUGCCUUUAUCUCCUUGAGAGGCUGGAAUCCUGGCAGUAGGGUAGGGGUGGAGCACAGAGGUGCCCGAGAAUUAGAGCUGGAGGUGGAAUUCCAUGGUUAUGGAUUGGAAAUCAGCAGUGGCUUCUGGGCUGCAUGAGAUAUCCUGAGAGGCAGCAAAGGGGUGGGAUUGAAAAGGGAUUGGUCCUAGAGAUUUGCAAACUCUGCAAGGGGAGGGAGGAGCCAACAAAAGACUGGGUCAGCCCUCCAGCCUCCUUCUUCACUCUGCUCAGGGCUAUGUCCUAGGGCUAGAGCCCCUCUCUAGGCCGUGAGACACAGCUGCACAUGAGACCAAGUUCUGCUGUGCAGAAAACUCAUCCUCCUUCCAGGACAAGGACCUCUGUGGGUGAGCAGUGGAAUCAAACCGUGGAUCCAUUGCAUACGGGUGAAACUGGCUUCUGACCCAGCAACAAAUUCAUAGCCCUCAGAAGUUACAGAAAAA